GUAGGGUAUAGACAUAGAGCUGCACUCCACCCUUACGUCCUUUCCUUGAUCUAAGCCCAAAGAUCUGAAUUUUAAGCCUGUGACCCUUUACCACUAAACCUGAAGAACCAUGCUGAUGAAGGAAAAGACAAACACUGAGACCAUCUGUGCUACAUGAAGGUUUGUAUCCUCAAGACAGCCAUAAUUCACAUUAAGGUCAUGACACAAGUUACAACCAACAAUACCAGAAAGGCUGUGUCAGCACUGAGGUCACCUGCCCUUCUAUCUCUGGUCCCAGGCAAGCCUACAUCUGUUCAGAUUCAAAAGGAAAACAGCUCAUAUACACACAAACACAUGUCAGGACAGGGAGGAAGAGACAAACGAAGAAGUCAGUGAUACGGCUGAAUGCUCUUGGUCAACUCAGGCUAGCCUAGAGGAUUCUAACAGCCAAGAAAAAAGGUCACAGAUGGCUAUUCCACAUCCUACACUGCCUAAUGCUAAUGGUUGCUGUGAGUAUAAAGGUCUGUGAUGCAACUCUGCAGCUGCAGUGCUGAAUUGGUACCCAUGGAAGCUCUGGCUCAGGAGUAACAGAAAAUGCUGCUUCAGAAAAGUAUUACUGAGCAUUUCUGGAUAACAGCAUCUAAUGCAGAAUGGUGACUUUUGAAGGAAAAUACGGAAUGUUAUUUUAAGGGAAAGGAAUAACCUAUACUAGUCUAUAAAUUAAUGUCAGCAACAUUCUUGAGGAGUCAUGAAGAAAUUUCAUCACUGAAUGGUGAUAUCUGGAAUGUGCUUCCUGAAUUAUUUGUCCUAGCACAGACAAAGUUUAUCGGGAACUUGACUGAUAAGUAAAAUAGACAAUUCUUGCCCCAAGGACAAGAAUGUGAACAUGGGAGGAGUACAAGACAAAGAAAAACAAAGGCUGAAAAAGGAGGAAAGAAAGCCAAGAACAUUCAUUUGGCUAAUUAAUUUUCUUAAGCAUGCUCCAGAAAGGUUCCAAUUUAUAUGAAUAAGUACAUUAUGGAUCAGCAUAGUUAUUCCAUAGUGUAAGCUAUUCCAUACUGCAAUUUCAUGUAUAUACUGAUGGUUACCAAUCAGUAUGUUAUAUCCAAGCCUGUUGAUUUUCAACUGUCAUUUAGUAGCAAGACAAGGUGAAAAGUUAUAUAGGCUUAUCUGCACACUUCUGUAGCAGGGAUCCAAUACCUUUUCUUUACAGUUCUGAGAAAGAAUCUCACCUACUUAUAUGUGUAUUUGGGAAAUGAUUAGAAGUGAAGGCCAACCUUAAUAAAAUAAGAAUAGGGAUCCUACAGAAUGUGUGCUAUCAACAUAAGUAUUAUCUGUUUUAAGAUGGAGGAGGUGUACCGAAGCUGUUGAUUAGUAUAUGAGAAGAGAGGUACCAGUAACCUGCAAGUGCUUAAGUACCUCUCUUUUUCUAUUGUCUUCCUUACUUUUAAUUAUAUGGAUCAAAAAUAGAAUCAUCCAGACAUCUCUUGCUGGUUUGGUAAUAUCCUCAUUAUAGAGAAGCAUAAGCUUUCCUCUCUGCUUAAUAUCAAAAAAUGCUGAAGAGUCAGUAAGUCAUCUUAGGCUUAUUUGUUAUCAGAUCUAGCGCCUCAGCCAUCUGCCUCAACAGCUCCCCAAACUGCUGAUAGUUGUCUAGCAGUGAGACUAUAACUACUGCCUCCAAAUCCUCAGGAGUUGUUCAGAAAGGAAAGCUGAUAUCAGUUUAUUCACAUACCUUCACCAUUGUAAUAUAUCCAUAUCUAGCAGCUCAGAUGGGCAUAAACAGGAGUUAUGAUUCUAGCUCUGUAGGGGAAGUGAUACUAUAAGAUAAGAACUCGGUUUUACAGGAUAGGAACAAUAAUAACACUCAUAAUUUUCAGCUAACCGACUGACUUGAUUUCACAUACCCAUUGAAGACAAUUGUGAGAACAGCCAGGCAGAAUUAGAAACAUAGUGAGGGAGACAACAUCAUGGUAUAAAUUUCUUAUAAACAGAAUUGAAAUUUCAGACCAAAUCAAGUCUUUUGCAACACUUAGAAUCUGUCACGUGAGCUCUGCAGGAGAAUCCAUAGGCUUGCACUAGACUUACCUGCAUGAGGCAGGUGCUACAUUCCCAAAAGAGUGCCCAAGUGAGUAAAAGGCUAAGCAUGGAGUCUCCCAGAGGCAGCCAGUGGGAAGUGGCAAGUAGAACCAACUGUCUAAAAUCUUGCUUUUACCUCAAGACUCAGGAUUUUGCAUCCAUCCUGGAGCUACAGCUCAGAACUUUUCCUUAAGAUAUUUAUCUUCUUGAUAGAUAUCCAUUGCUUUUCCUUUUGGGUGACACCGACUACUUUCUUUAAAAGCAAGUUGUGCCUCGGGACAGUAGUGAUACCUGCUUUCCACAAAUGUGUGUUUGUUCAGCGUUAUGCCCUUUUAGAAUAAUAAUGUAAGUUUUCUAUAUGUUCUACCAGCUGAAAGGUAGUAUUAGUAUCAGCUAAGGCCCGUUCUGAUGCCUUGUAUGUGCUGUGUGUAUAAAACUGGUACAUUAGCAAAAACCCAAGCACGCUUACUGCAAUCCUUGUCUCACUGUCAAUCUUUACACUUGCAAUAUGGCAAUAUACUUGCAAUAUUGGCACAACUGAGUUGUGCCAAUCUUUCUCUCACUAUGGGCACGUUGUUGGAUCUCUCCCCUCUACCCAGAUGCUUACUUUGUUAGAAAUUCUACCACUUCUCCAGUCUGACUGAAACAAGACAAUAGGUUAGAAUAUUACAGGAGUUGAGGAGGGCAAAGAGUUACAGCAAAGAUAUAUUGUGGCCCCAUAACCCUUGUAUUCUUAGGAAGGCAGGUAAAGAAAGAUGGGUGAGGGCUGCCUUAGUUUUUAUUUUAUGAAAAUGUAGUGGUGAAGGACCCCUCCAGGAAGCUGGAAACACAUACAGCAUUGUUCAGCUCGUGUGGUUUCAAAUCUGAACCUUUCACAAUCCAGAAGAUUUCACCUAAUUAUCAAAUUAGUUACUCAGAGAGAGUCUCUUUUGACCUUUACGUAUAUGAGUUAGCAAUAAAGAAGCUGUAAGACAGACCUUUUGUUAGAUCAUGAACUCGUGCCAAUGUUUCCGAACAGAGACUCCCAAAGUUUAGCACCUGAAUCCAAUUUUAGGCAGCUACCUGAGCAGGCUGAUCCUGAGCCCUUACCAGUUCCCAAAUGAAGGCUGCAGUGAAACAGAACAUCUGUACGUGAGGCUAGUUACUUAAAUACAGAUUUACAUGAAUACAGCUACAGUGCCAAGUUUUAAGUGUUUUGACUUGAACUAACUUCCUAACAGAUGGUUAUUCUGCAUCUAUCUUCAUUUAUUUAUGGCUGUUUAUGUUUGCACAGAAGUAAUAACUGAUCUAAAAGUGAUACAAGCUUAUUCCUUUUCUUUUUAAUUUAUAUUGCAAUAACACUUAAAUAUAUGAUUAUAAUGUGCAAUCUAAAGAAAUUACAUAAGUAUGUUCUCUCUGUAUCAUACUCAUAUAUAUUUAAUAUAUUUAAGAAAUAUUUAAGAAAAAAAUGCUACAACUAUAAUGCAAAGUGAACAAAGAUAAAUUAGCAUCAUCUAAUUUGUAACAUUGCUCAAGCUUAAGCUAUAUAUUAACAACAACAAAAAGAAAAACAAGAACAACAACAACAAAACAGACAAAAAAUCUUUAAAAAAAACUGAAAAAAAUAAAGAGAAAAUACAUAAGUAUAUAUAUCAGAAGCUUCAGAAAAUGAAUUCAACAAAAUUCAUCUAAUGUUUCUCAGUAACAGAAAUCCAAUGUGAUAUAAAAUGCAGCUCUUGGUGUCACGAGUAGAUAUGUGUCCGAUUCAGGAAAUCGUCAUGUAAGUGUAUGAGUGAUUACAAAAUCAGGAGUAAAGUGUGCUUAUUUAUAUCAAAACAUUUCAUAACUAAAGAAGAAGCAAGCAACCCAGGAAUCUACAAAGUAUUAAGAAAUAAAGGGCCUGAUACUGCUUUCAGCUCUAUUCAUACCUCACCAUGUAAGUCAAUGAGUUUCAGAACUAUAAAUGAGCAAGUUAGCAUCUGUCUGAUCACCACACUGAUCAAUUAGCUUAUUUGCAAUACGAAAAGUACUAACCACAUUUUUAUCUCACAGUUUUUUUUUCACAGUACCAAAAGUACAAGAAAAUCACAGCCAUCCAUUAUUCUAACUGCAAAAGGCAUGUGUGACUAUCAGACUUUGGCAAUGAAUACCAUGAGAAAGAAAACUUUUCAGCUUUGAAGCUGUAGCUAUUGAUAUGUAAGUUAUAAUAUCCAAGGAAAACAAACUUUGCAGCAUUCAUUUGCUUACAUUCAUCGCAACAUGCAUUUUUAAUACAUAGCUUUAACUACAACCACCUGAAGAAGAUUCAGAAGAUCAUUACAGUUGUCACCAGUUUAGUAUACACCUAUAUGUGCACUGAAACAUCACUUCAUUUGUACUGAGAGAUCAGAUCUAGAAGGAAAGACAAGGAAAUUUUCCCACUGAACAAUAAUGAUUGUUUGUUUCCGUAAGCCAAAUAAUUUUUUCAGGAAAGAUUAACUCAAAAAAUUAUUGAUGUAGAACAAUUUUCAUCACAUCAGCUGCAGAAAUCCACUGGGGAAAACAGAAAGGAGAAACCCUCAGGCCACAUUUUGUAUGACCUAAUUCUUUCAAGGGUAUGUUUCUGCAAAUUUUUAGGAAGUGACAAUGCAAAUGAACUAUAGUUCCCACUGUGAUAUUUUCAUGGAAUCUCUGCAUGACCUCCAAACAGCAUACUUUGCACCAAGACAAGUACAUAGCUGUGUUGUAUAGUUUAAUUACUUUGGGAUGUAAGCGAGCAGAAAAACAAUGAUCACACAUUCAGCAGAAGCUACACUUCUAUAAAUUUCUGGUAUUCUAGUACUGAGAUUCUCAAUUUCCAGUCUAUACACUGCUACCAGUUAAUGAUUAGUCUACUACUAUUUUGGUGAAAUUGCACUCCAGUCAAGGGAAAGGGAAGUAAAAAAAAUGAGGAAUAAAACAAACUAAAAUUGUUUAAUUACAGCAUCAGCUGGACUCAGCUGUGAUGAGGUCAUCUUUCUAUUAAAUUCAAUGCACUGAAUUCACUAAGAGCAAGAUCAAACUCUAUGAUUUUAUUUUCAUGGGUGAAGUUUAAUAGAAAUGUGGAUUAACUUUUUCGUCACAUUGUUAAAUUGUUUUAUAUUAACAUAAACCAGAAUACAAACAUUCUGCUCUCAGAGUAUUUCUAGGAUCUGUCCAUUUACUUUCAGUAGGUUUAGUGGCAUGCACUUUAUUUUGAGGGAAACUAUGUUUCUUUAAGAAAGAAAAAUAGUCACUCCUUUGACUUUAUCAGCAUUUCAUUCUAAUAGCUUUCAAUGUCAGACAACCGUUUCUUACUUAUAAGAUUUUAAAUCAUGCUGGCUUGUUUCUAAAUGAGUAAUUGCAGUUCAUAUGAGUGUGCAACUUAUGUUUUUAAUUUAACAACUGAAGAGCACAUUUUAGCUAUAGUUGAUAAAAACAUGAUAAUUAAAAAUGAUGCUUUAAGAAUGUUACAGGAUUUUAUCUCAAAUAAUAAUAUAUGUGCAUAACCUGAUAUUAAGCUCUGUAUUUCUCCUGUAGAACAUUUAACUAUCAUUAUAUUUCACGUUUGACUCCCCUCACUACCCCUUCUCACUCCCUCUACCCUCAGUUAUUAAUGGGCAUUCACAACAGCUUUACUAGCUAUAUAUAUUGCAAUUUUUCUGGGUUCCUGACAAAUGAGCUCACACUUGGUACAAAAAGCAUUGAUAAAAUCUGAGUGCCCAUAAACAUAUAUUCCACUGAAAUAUUACGUAUGAAGCUUUUCAUCCCUACACCUAUUAUUUAAUAAAGAAAGGUCAAAAAUAAUUUAGAUAAGGCAGAACAGCAUUUUAAGUGAAAAAGGUCAGAUGCAGAUAAUACACAUUUUUCACUUUAAAUUGUACACAAAGUUUGUUUGCAGACCUUUGAAGUGGAUGGGAAACUUGAGUGUUUACUCAGCUGGAACUUUAGGUAUUUCAUAUAUAAGGCAUAUGUUCCUGUAAACAGUCUAAAUUGACUACUACAAGCAUAGUGCGAUGUUGUAUGCACAUCUCUAAUGUUCCAUAAAACAGAUCAAAAAUGUAAUCUGGGCAUCAAUUGUUUAAUGCUUCACAGUGACUAUUCACUAGUAGGUACAUUGAUAAAAUUUUGUAUUUAAUUUUCUAAGAGAACCAUAACCUCUUAUUCUUUAAUUAGUCCAUGAAUACAAGGAAAUAUAUAGGGAAUACAUAUACUGUCUCUAUAUGUUUUUCCUUUUAAUUCUGGAUUUCCUCAAAAAUUAUUUUCAUAAUCAUCCUUAAUGUACACUUCUAUAGUCAGGAAUAUUUUCAUUGAGGAAAAACUGUUAAAGUCCACGAUCUCGGCUGGCAAUAGUUCCAUCAUGCCAUUUCUUCAUCUCUAAUGUGUGUAACAUUCUCAGCUUUCACCUUUCCCAGUGUCUCACAGAAAUCAGCUCUUAGGACAGAGCAGUUGUGCAAAUUCAGAUUUCAUCAAGAUAGAAAAUGAUACAAGUGAGAAGAGAAUAUUCUGUUGAAUUUUGCUAAAGCUAUAAUCUUCCAGCCUAUCACUUUACUCUGACAUAUUCUCAUGCUAACCAGACCAUCAAAGAAAACCAUUUGUAUUACUUGGCAUUGUAGAGUGACUGAAUAGCUUAAAAUUUUGUAAAAGGCCUUUUUCCACCUGAGUGACUAGAAGGCUGUAUCCAAGCCUUCUGUAUAAUGAUUAGGUCCUGGCUUGCUCAUUGAAAACUGUUGGAAUGAAUUACUGAAAUUCAUAUUACUUUGAUACAAGUACAACAAACUUUGAUUAUUGGUAUCCUUUAAAAUUGGUAAGCCAAAGGUGUGGUCUCCAUCCUAAAUGUCAAAAUCCUUUAAGAAAUGUUUUACUCACAUCUUUCAGAGUAUAUUUCUCCAUGAGGAGACUGUCAUCCUCAGUUGCUCUCUUUUGCAUUAAUCAUGAUCUAUCAAUCUGAAAAACAAAGCUCAUGGGAGCAGAAUAUAGGGUAAUUCAAUAAACAGAACUAAAAGAUUUCAGAUUCCCUGUCAGAGGAUAUUAGAUUGACCACAGCUCUCUGAGCUUUCUGAACAAAGCUGAAAAUUCACUUCAAAUUAGUAUCCUCAUAGCCACUAUACAAAGCAGCUAUGAAGAAGAAAAUAGGACAUGGAUCAGGGUGGAAAAGGUGAGAGGUUAAGUGUAAAUUAGAUUGCUGAGUUAUUGUGAUUCUAAUUAGUUUUUGGAAACUACUCAAAUCCUAUGAUAGGUAACAUUAAAAUAUUUAUAUGAGAAGGUGACAAAUACUUUGCUUUGCAGAAGUAUUUAAUGCUGGGAAAUGUUUUAACAGAAAACAAUAUAGCAUUUUUAAAAAUUUUACAUUUAAAUAAUUAUGUUAAGUAAUAAAUGUUUUGUGGCUGUUAUUAUAAUCACAAUUGAUUGAUUAGUUGCAAUAGUUUCUAGAAAGGAAAAUGGUUUAAAAGUUAAGAAAAUGUGCUAUUUAAAAUGUGUGUGUAUAGUACCUUGUAUUUGUAAUAAGAUAUGGAUCAUAACUGUGUAAUUGACUGGCAUUCAAUUAAAAAGCUUGAAAUUA